CGUUCAGAGACGUUUUGGUAUCCUUCGGCGUCAGGAGUGAACGCUCGGCGGCGUGCCUAACACAUGCAAGUCGAACGGGUGCGGCGGUGCGGGCAGGGGUCUCGGCCUCUGCGGCGUCGCGCGAGUGGCGGACGGGUGAGUAACGCGUGGGCAACCUGCCCUGUACUGGGGGAUAACACCUGGAAACAGGUGCUAAUACCGCAUAAGCGCGCUGUGCCGCAUGGCGCGGCGCGGAAAACCCCGGUGGUACAGGAUGGGCCCGCGUCUGAUUAGCUGGUUGGCAGGGUAACGGCCUACCAAGGCGACGAUCAGUAGCCGGCCUGAGAGGGUGGACGGCCACACUGGGACUGAGACACGGCCCAGACUCCUACGGGAGGCAGCAGUGGGGGAUAUUGCACAAUGGGGGGAACCCUGAUGCAGCGACGCCGCGUGGGUGAAGGAGCGUUUCGGCGCGUAAAGCCCUAUCGGCAGGGAAGAAGAUGACGGUACCUGACCAAGAAGUCCCGGCUAACUACGUG
rnacentral:rRNA from 1 species